rnacentral:tRNA from 1 species
CCCCCUGUAGCUCAAUGGACAGAGCAGAUCCGUCCUAAGGAUAAGAUGGGGGUUCGAUUCCUCCCGGGGGGACAA